rnacentral:rRNA from 16 species
UUAUCGGAUUGAAUGGGCUGCUUAGAGGUCCCUGGAAAUAGCUCCAUCAUGAGAUCGUACCCUAAACCGACACAGGUGGACAGGUAGAGAAUACCAAGGCGCUUGAGAGAACUAUGUUGAAGGAACUCGGCAAAAUACCUCCGUAAGUUCGCGAGAAGGAGGCCCGGUUCCUAGGCAACUAGGGGCUGGGGGCACAAACCAGGGGGUGGCGACUGUUUACUAAAAACACAGGGCUCUGCGAAG